UGCAAUGUUCAGCAUGCAGGUUUUUUUUGUAAAUCUUGUGAAGCAACAAGAUGAACAAUGGAGCAAUUUAUCGUAUUUUUGGGACUGAUGAAGAACAAAUUUGAGCAUGUACAAUAACAACAAAUAUAAAAUCAAAACUUAGCUACCUUAAUUGCCUGAGAGUCAUCUUAAGAGAAGUUCGUUCAUUCAUUCAUCAUCCCAAUCAGCGCAAAUGAAACAUAUCCAUUUCAACUCUUAGCCCCUCCAUUGAGAGGUCCGGUUUGCAACUUGAGUGAUUAAAAUGGCUCUUUUAAUAUCCCCUAAUGUGUACCAGCUCUCAAGUCAUUACCCCACUUCCCUUAUUAUGCAGGACCCCUGCUUGCAUCAAUGCUCAUUUAAACAGAGCCUCACUAAAUGUCCAUGUGAGUGCCUUAUGUAUAAUCACACUCUAACCCCCAACCCCCCACCCGGUACCCCAGCACACUCAUGUCAUGUUCACAAUUUCGACCUCCACAAACAUCCGAUUUGGGCUGAAGCCCACUUUUUAGGGCUUCUCCUUAGGGCCCCCAGUGUUGCUGUUUCUCUUGGGGCUCCAGCCCAUCCUGUGUGGCCCCUUAGUAUCUGACUUAAAGAUCAGCUCAUGGCUCCCUCUCUGGGGGGGGGCUCUCUUCAACCUUUUCACACAACAAGCAGAGCUUUCUCAGGUCAAAAGCACCCUUCUGGUUUGUUUAAGCAACAUGGUGGCAAUUUCUACAAACAUUGCAGGCUGAUUAAAGUAACUCAGAUUGUUCAGUGCUCUAAUACAUGUGGAGUAAUGCUCUUCAUCUCACACACAUCUAUAAUAUAAUAUAUAUGCAAAGUCACGCGCAUAUAAAUGUACGCACAUGAUAGACCAUAGUCUCCAGUACCAAUAAGGGAAAUUUCAUAAUUUGAGUUCAUAGUUCAUCAUAAGGCCACUUUUUCCAGCCCUUUCCUCAAGGCUUUCAAGUGUGUAAAACUGUGUACAGGAUAUAAUGAAGUGAAAAUGUAAUCACUGUCAACAAAGGUUGCAGCUUGGGGAAAGCUUAGGAAGGUUUUGUUUUGAAAGAUGGCAAACAUAAUCAACCCUAAGUGAUUAAAGGGGUACUGGUUUGUGGGACGUACACCACAUGUUAGUGUCUCAUUUAGUCCUUGUUUCCUCUCAGAUCUUCAAACCUGGAACCAAUCUUUGCCUCUCCUGAAUAAUGAUCACUUAGUGAAGAUGUUUAACAAAGGAGAAAUCUGCACCCAAGAGGCAGUGGUGUGGAAAUCCACCUAUGUGAUGUUAAAUAAAGAUCAUAUGAAAAGGUUAAUAAAAGCCUGGAAAGAGACUCUUACAGCAUGUAGACAGAUGGAAACCUGUGUUGUUGAUCGAAGAAAACCUGUGUUGUUGAAUGAAGUUGACCCUAAGCUUAGCUGGCCACACGUGUCGUGAGUCUCUCACUUCCAUGCGGUCAAGGCUAAAGACUAUCAUUAUGUGGGGCCGCAAAUUCGCUUGACAUGAUGUGCAGACAUUAAAUCAUCAGCAUGAGUCCAAACAUCUCCCACAGUCUGGGAUAUUUCUGUCGGAGUUUACGCGACGUGCCUUCCUCUGUUUGUGUACAAUGCAUGUUGUAAUACAGUGAUAAUAACUUGUAUUGCUAUAAUAUCCAUAGUCAUAAUAGUUAUUUUACCCUGCCAUAACAUUUGAUUUUCCCUUUAACAAGAGCAAACAUGGUUUGAAUUGUAUGUACUGUACCACAGAAUCUGGCUUAGGGCUGCGGGAAUUAUCAGAUAGGUGUGCAUCAGUUAUCUGAACGUGCUGUAUCUAGUUCAGCAGGGGAAUUAUCAAGGGAGAGAGAAAUGAAAUUUUAAAAAAGCCAUGAAGGAGAAUUGAAGUGAGCUAAUCAUUGUAAUUAGCAGGUAGAGCAGAAAAUGUAGACCCUUAAUUUUCUCCCACCAAGAGGGGUGUAUAUGUCUGUGUGUGUGUGUGUCAUUUUAUAAUUUCACAAUAUUAUUUAGCCUACUUUAGUCCUAGUCUGAAUCACGUAAUUCAAGAUGAAUUGUACACCUGGGAUGUUUUUCUCCCUGGCAAGAUGUAUGCUCAAUAGCCUCUCUUUUAGACCUUUGCUUUAGGGCCUUUCUUUUGCUUGAAAACAUGUGUGCGUUUCCCAUGUGGCACGUGUUUCCAUCCUUAUUGUUCCAAAACUGAAUGUCAUGUUGUUUUUUUUCUUUGACCUUUUUUGUGUGUUCAAAGUACCGCCUAGCCAAGCUCCCUGCCCGGUUUUGAUGGAAAACAUUAUCUUAAUACUGACUGACAAAUUUCUUUAAUUAGAUUUAUACUCACAGUCAUAUAUUGGAUUUUCUUUCUUUUCUCUCUCGGUUGUGACAGUCAUACACUUCAGUAAAUUAAAGAUUAAAGACACAUUUCCUGCUUAAAACCUUCAUGAAAUUCUCAUCAAGUACAGUUAAGUCAUGGAACAGUGAUAUCAUUUAUGAAAGUUCUCGUGAUCGCUAUAAAAGUUGAUGGAUACAUGAUCAUGAGUUAGCGUAAAUACACAUUAUGUAAUGUGUAUCUAGGCAAAGACACAGCAAUUGUGGUUCUAAAUUUGCCCAUAACUGACAGAACCCUGGAAUAUAGCCGUUUAACCGGUUAACCUCACAUUCUGCUCAAGACUGGACUCUGAUUUAAGUUGACAGGCAGCAUUUUUCUUUUCAAAUUUAACAAAGCUGAUGGCUUGUGUUUUUAUUGCAUUUAACAGACAGUUAAUGUUUCCUGAGAUACUGUCAUCUGAUUUUGUUCUGCGAAAGCCUACGUUCUUGAAAUGGUUCUGCAGUCUGAACAUGACACGGAUAUUCAGUUCCUACAGGAAGCUGCAACCAUUCAAGUCAUUACUUCAAAGAAGUAGAUGAUAUCUCUAGACCCUUCAGUAGAAGUCAACCCUACUGCUGAGUAAAUAAUACAAAGCAUGGUCUCUAAAAAUAGAUAUGUUGGUGGUUUUAUGUUUUGGGAGGUAAAUAUGUCCACUUUGACCACAUAUAUUAGCCGGUUUUUGUUUAUGUAAGUGUAAUAAUAUUUACUGGUAAUAGUAUUGAAUUCUUACUUGUAGUGGCCAAGGGUAGUGGCUGUUUGAAGAUAUGAGAAGCCUUCUGUCUGCGCCAGUGGCUCUAAGUUGAGGGGAGAGGUGAUCUUGGCUGCUUUAACUCAUCCUUGGAGGACGCCGAUGUCCCAGACUGCUCUUUGGCAGGCUGUUGUAGCCCUAAACAUCUAGGGUGGCUUCAGUGCAGGGCCUCACAUUUAGCCUUUUUUCUCCAGGUGAUAAAGAUGUUGUGAGCUUGCACCUGGGACUCUAAUAAAGGAUUUAACAGCCAUCUUGGGUCAGCAGUAAAAUCUGAGAGGGAUGUGAGAGCUUGUUACAAUGUGGUGUGAAAGAAUGCUACGGCACCAGUAACAUACUCUGACACCUCAUGUCCUUUUUGUUAUGGGUGGACAUGCACAAAUUCACACAGCUGUUUUGGAAAACACCAAUUUACCAGAACUGGGUUUUUUUAAGGUCACAGCUUGGCGUUGACAAAAAUCUGGUCUGUAGUAAGUGUCGGAUAGAGAGGCUUACUUAUUUGUGCGGUCAGUUGAAAUUUCCUUUAGUAUAAUAUUACAUCUUUAUGCAAUAAGUAUUCUCUGUGCAUAAAAUACCUAUAUAAUGAGGUGCUCUGUGUUGUACCUAGGCCAAAGACUCACAAUACCAGAGCCACUUUUUAAUUUGGUGUUCAGCCUUUGAAGUAAACGCACAGUAAUAGUCAAAGGCACUAUCGUGGUUACAGCCUAAAACUCAGCCCAACCACACCACAAAAGUGAAUACUGGAUGGCUUUGCCCUUAGGUCGUGUUUUUUUUAGUAUUAUUAUUAGCUUCAAGUAAAUUCAAUGUAUGAAUGACCCUUUAAUUUAUUGCUCUGGAAACAUUCAGAGUGCCUCAAGAACAGAUCA